GUAGGUGGCAAGCGUUGUCCGGAGUUAUUGGGCGUAAAGCGCGCGCAGGCGGUUCUUUAAGUCUGAUGUGAAAGCCCACGGCUCAACCGUGGAGGGUCAUUGGAAACUGGAGAACUUGAGUACAGAAGAGGAAAGCGGAAUUCCACGUGUAGCGGUGAAAUGCGUAGAGAUGUGGAGGAACACCAGUGGCGAAGGCGGCUUUCUGGUCUGUAACUGACGCUGAGGCGCGAAAGCGUGGGGAGCAAACAGGGAUUAGAUACCCUGGUAGUCCACGCUGUAAACGAUGAGUGCUAAGUGUUAGGGGGGUUUCCGCCCCCCUUAGUGCUGCAGCUAACGCAUUAAGCACUCCGCCUGGGAGUACGGCCGCAAGGCUG
rnacentral:rRNA from 1 species